rnacentral:rRNA from 1 species
UACUCGAGUGGCGAACGGGUGAGUAACACGUGGGUGAUCUGCCUUGCACUCUGGGAUAAGCUUGGGAAACUGGGUCUAAUACCGGAUAGGAACCGUCUUUAGUGUGGUGGUUGGAAAGUUUUUUCGGUGCAAGAUGAGCUCGCGGCCUAUCAGCUUGUUGGUGGGGUAAUGGCCUACCAAGGCGUCGACGGGUAGCCGGCCUGAGAGGGUGUACGGCCACAUUGGGACCGAGAUACGGCCCAG